rnacentral:rRNA from 1 species
GAUGAACGCUGGCGGCGUGCCUAAUACAUGCAAGUAGAACGCUGAAGGAGGAGCUUGCUCUUCUGGCUGAGUUGCGAACGGGUGAGUAACGCGUAGGUAACCUGCCUGGUAGCGGGGGAUAACUAUUGGUAACGAUAGCUAAUACCACAUGACAACAGUUAUUGCAUGAUAACUGUUUAAAAGGGGCAACUGCUCCACUACCAGAUGGACCUGCGUUGUAUUAGCUAGUUGGUGAGGUAACGGCUCACCAAGGCGACGAUACAUAGCCGACCUGAGGGGGGGAGCGGCCACACUGGGACUGAGACACGGCCCAGACUCCUACGGGAGGCAGCAGUAGGGAAUCUUCGGCAAUGGACGGAAGACUGACCGAGCAACGCCGCGUGAGUGAAGAAGGUUUUCGGAUCGUAAAGCUCUGUUGUAAGAGAAGAACGAGGGUGAGAGUGGAAAGUUCACACUGUGACGGUAUCUUACCAGAAAGGGACGGCUAACUACGUG